UACGGAGGGAGCUAGCGUUGUUCGGAAUUACUGGGCGUAAAGCGUACGUAGGCGGUUAUUCAAGUCAGAGGUGAAAGCCCGGGGCUCAACCCCAGAACUGCCUUUGAAACUAGAUAGCUAGAAUCUUGGAGAGGUCAGUGGAAUUCCGAGUGUAGAGGUGAAAUUCGUAGAUAUUCGGAAGAACACCAGUGGCGAAGGCGACUGACUGGACAAGUAUUGACGCUGAGGUGCGAAAGCGUGGGGAGCAAACAGG
rnacentral:rRNA from 1 species